rnacentral:lncRNA from 1 species
CGGUCGUCCAGUCACAUAUAUGUCAGAACAAAAUAUACAAACAAAUAAUACCAUAUUCUCAGGUUUCUCUUGUAUAACAUAAAACAAGCAUGCCCCAUUUUUACAAAGUUGGAACCAUAUAUGAAUACUCUGCCAACCAGAGUAAAGAGAACUCAGUAAUAGUACAUGCAAUUUCAGUUCAAGAAAACAACCUAUUAUAUAAAUAAACAACAAAGCACAACUAACUUGGAGCAGCAUUAUUCUUCAACUUCCUUCUUUAUUUCUUCCAUGAGUUCAUCAGCUAUGCUUCCUGUGAAGCAAAAGUGUUCAUAAUAUUGUCAGUAAGCAAGUUAUAAGUCAAAUGAACAAAUCAUUUCCAUUGUCAUGGCAUAAUAAAGAUUGUCUUGGCAUGGGGAAUGUGCCGCCUUCAGCCUGAAUUUGGUACCCAGACAUGCGCUAGGAUCUAGAAGAAACAACUAUUCAGGAAAUGAAAUGUAUGGCUGAAACCUUUGUGGUUCAAACCUGCGUGGACGGGCAAUUUACCAUACAACAAGUCAAAUCAGAUGCAGUGUGUGCAGUACUGCAGUAACUAUUACUACUUCA